rnacentral:ncRNA from 1 species
GUGGUACUCGUAAGAGUUCAAUAGGGAAGAUUGGUGAGAACCCAACACAGACCCGCUGCUGUGAUUAGCACAACCCUUAGUAGAUUUGCCACUGGGAAACCGGGAAGGCCUACCUAGGAGCUAUAAGUCAGAAGACCUGCCAUAAAACAAA